rnacentral:lncRNA from 1 species
UGUAAAGAACACGGAAUCAUUUCAAGCACAUGCAGGAAGGACAUUCAAGAACCCUCCAAUCAGUCAGUGAAGAGCAUGUCAGAUUAUCACCGUGUUUUGUUCCUGCAGAAAGGAAGACAGCUAACUUGAUACACGACUUUUUUGCCUUUGGAUCACGGAUGACAAAAUCACUUGUGACAAAUUCUGCUGGGUGUACUGUCAUUGAACUACACUGAGACGUGUCAGAAUGACCAGCCCUGAGGCCUUCACUGUAGCAGAAACAUGGCUGAGGAAUGCCCUGCUGUGCUCAGAGAGCCCAAGAGAAGUCCUAUUUCUCGGCUCUUAGCCUGGCUUUAAUCUCCUGGAGCUUUUACUAUUGCAAACAUUUAUCCCCACUGUCUUGCUCUUGAGUACUUCGUCUGAACGACCUCUGAUCUACGGCAAUGGCCGUGUUCUUAGCCUCGUAAACAGCAAUGAACCAACCCCAUGCUACUGUAGCUUUCUGGUUUUACUGUAGUUAUUAAAAAGCAAAUAGAAAAGAUUUAAACAAUUUAAAGAUGAUCCUUUUGCCAUGAACAAGUAUCACGGUGCUAGCAAAUGGGUUAAUUGAGCCUCAGCAUUGUGCCUGGCACACGGGAAGCAGACUGGAAAAGUCACUAGUCAUCUGGUGCACUGAGAGCUACAUAGGAGCAGAGAGAUUAUGAUGUUGUACUAAUCAUUGUGACCUUUCUGGCCAGAGAGCCCACCUGGGCUCAGCUUGCUACCAAGUGAGGUGACUGAGUCCGACAGAAU